rnacentral:rRNA from 1 species
AUACGUAGGGUCCAAGCGUUAUUCGGAUUUACUGGGCGUAAAGCGUGCGUAGGCGGCUAUAUAAGUUAGAUGUUAAAUCUGUGGGCUCAACUCACAGGCUGCAUCUAAUACUGUAUGGCUCGAGAGUGGAAGAGGCGAACGGAAUUCCUAGUGGAGCGGUUAAAUGCGUAGAUAUUAGGAGGAACACCAAUGGCGAAGGCAGUUUGCUGGGCCAUUUCUGACGCUAAGGCACGAAAGCGUGGGGAGCGAUCGGGAUUAGAAACCCCUGUAGUCC